rnacentral:rRNA from 1 species
AUUGAACGCUGGCGGAAUGCUUUACACAUGCAAGUCGAACGGUAGAGGGGGCAACCCCUCGAGAGUGGCGAACGGGUGAGUAAUAUAUCGGAACGUGCCCAGUCGUGGGGGAUAACGUAGCGAAAGUUACGCUAAUACCGCAUACGAUCUAAGGAUGAAAGCGGGGGAUCGCAAGACCUCGCGCGAUUGGAGCGGCCGAUAUCAGAUUAGGUAGUUGGUGGGGUAAAGGCUCACCAAGCCCACGAUCUGUAGCUGGUCUGAGAGGACGACCAGCCACACUGGGACUGAGACAUGGUCCAGACACCUACGGGAGGCAGCAGUGGGGAAUUUUGGACAAUGGACGCAAGUCUGAUCCAGCCAUUCCGCGUGCAGGAUGAAGGCCCUCGGGUUGUAAACUGCUUUUGUACGGAACGAAAAGGUCUCUCUUAAUACGGGGGGCUCAUGACGGUACCGUAAGAAUAAGCACCGGCUAACUACGUGCCAGCCGCCGCGGUAA